rnacentral:rRNA from 1 species
UCCAGACUCCUACGGGAGGCAGCAGUGGGGGAUAUUGCACAAUGGGGGGAACCCUGAUGCAGCGACGCCGCGUGGGUGAAGGAGCGUUUCGGCGCGUAAAGCCCUAUCGGCAGGGAAGAAGGAGGACGGUACCUGACUAAGAAGCCCCGGCUAACUACGUGCCAGCAGCCGCGGUAAUACGUAGGGGGCAAGCGUUAUCCGGAUUUACUGGGUGUAAAGGGGGCGCAGACGGCAGCGCAAGCCAGGAGUGAAAGCCCGGGGCCCAACCCCGGGACUGCUCUUGGAACUGCGCGGCUGGAGUGCAGGAGGGGCAGGCGGAAUUCCUGGUGUAGCGGUGAAAUGCGUAGAUAUCAGGAGGAACACCGGUGGCGAAGGCGGCCUGCUGGACUGCGACUGACGUUGAGGCCCGAAAGCGUGGGGAGCAAACAGGAUUAGAUACCCGCGUAAUC